CAUUGCGGCAAGCCUUAACAUGCAAGUCGAACGGUAACAGGUCUUCGGAUGCUGACGAGUGGCGAACGGGUGAGUAAUACAUCGGAACGUGCCCGAUCGUGGGGGAUAACGGAGCGAAAGCUUUGCUAAUACCGCAUACGAUCUACGGAUGAAAGCAGGGGACCGCAAGGCCUUGCGCGGACGGAGCGGCCGAUGGCAGAUUAGGUAGUUGGUGGCAUAAAAGCUUACCAAGCCGACGAUCUGUAGCUGGUCUGAGAGGACGACCAGCCACACUGGGACUGAGACACGGCCCAGACUCCUACGGGAGGCAGCAGUGGGGAAUUUUGGACAAUGGGCGAAAGCCUGAUCCAGCCAUGCCGCGUGCAGGAUGACGGCCUUCGGGUUGUAAACUGCUUUUGUACGGAACGAAAAGACUCUUUCUAAUAAAGAGGGUCCAUGACGGUACCGUAAGAAUAAGCACCGGCUAACUACGUGCCAGCAGCCGCGGUAAUACGUAGGGUGCAAGCGUUAAUCGGAAUUACUGGGCGUAAAGCGUGCGCAGGCGGUUAUGUAAGACAGAUGUGAAAUCCCCGGGCUCAACCCUGGGAACUGCAUUUGUGACUGCAUAGCUAGAGUACGGUAGAGGGGGAUGGAAUUCCCGCGUGUAGCAGUGAAAAUGCGUAGAUAUGCGGAGGAAACAACCGAUGGGCGAAAGGCAAUCCCCCUGGACCUGUACCUGACGCUUCCUGUACGAAAGCGUGGGGGAGCCC
rnacentral:rRNA from 1 species